CUUUCAAGUCAUGGUGAUUGUGAUAAUGAUUGUAAAGUCCGUUCAGAGCAACGGUCUUUGUACUAUAUGUGUCUUUUUCUGUGUGACUUUUAUCUUUCAUUAUUAUAUAAAUGUGAUGUAUGUUAUGUUCACAAAGUGAAUACUUCAAAAUGAGGAGGACAUGCUACAACAAAGCAGACUGGGUGAAUGUGAGACUUCGAGGAGGAGUACUGACACAUCCAUUUCAACGGGAUGGUUCUAGCUGCGGAGUAAUGGUCAUCAUGGUAUGGUACAACAUUAACGCAAUAAUAUUUUUCUGUGAAAUUAGAUAAGAAGAUGGGGUGGGGGAAGUUAAAAUAAUCUUAAAAGGUUAAAUUGUGUAAACAGGAAGUGUAACAUUUGCAGAUGUUUUCAAUUAAUUGUUUUUGUUGUUUUUUUUUAAUUUCAGAUGGCCAAAGAAGUAAUGGAAGCCAUCCAUCCGCUUCCGCUUAUCCUUUUUCAGGGUCGCGGGGGGCACUGGAGCCUAUCCCAGCUGUCAUGGGGCGAGAGGCGGGGUACACCCUGGACAGGUCGCCAGUCUGUCGCAGGGCUAACACACAGAGACAGACAACCAUUCGCAUUCACAUUCACUCGCACAUUCACACCAGUAAUGGAAGCAUUCCCAAAUAAACCAGAAAUGACAUUUUUGACGACCAAAAAAGAGAUGGCCCAGGCACGAAGGACAUUUGCACAGACAAUACUUGAGGCCUCCGUAUUUGACAGUGACAACAACUGUGCCAUGUGUGCAACGGUGAAACCACCUAAUCCAGGACCCUCCAUCACUGACUGGAUCCAGUGUGAUAAUUGCAACCGCUGGUUCCAUUCUGAAUGCCUGGACAUGACAAAUGAACAGCUCAGCAGUGCUCAGAAGACAGAGUGGAAGUGUGUGCUUUGUGUAACCUAAUUCCACAUGCGGUGAAAGCUACUUGAAUAUCUGCUUAUAGUUGUUAUUGGUGUUUUGAGGAACACAUGUGUAAAACACAAUGUGUAUAACAUUCUUGCUUUGUGCACGUACCUCAAGUAUUUCCUUUUUGAUUUUUUGGGUUGAUUUGUGUGAUGACAGAUAAUGAAUAACAAUAUAU
ensembl:lncRNA